CACGAGUGAACACACUGAAACCAUCAAGGCGGUUACUGAAUCAUCAGCGGACUCUUCUAAGAUUGGAAUACACGGACAUGAUCAGGACAGAAUCCCGCAGUAUAGCUACCCUGAUUCUGAAUCUCUACACUCAUUUUUUACAGUGUGGGACAUCCACACCAUCCAAAUAAAAGCGCUCUGAGGCAAUCUGUGAGGCUUUCACAAACAACAACACCAAG